GAUGAACGCUAGCUACAGGCUUAACACAUGCAAGUCGAGGGGCAUCAGGAAGAAAGCUUGCUUUCUUUGCUGGCGACCGGCGCACGGGUGAGUAACACGUAUCCAACCUGCCCUUUACUCGGGGAUAGCCUUUCGAAAGAAAGAUUAAUACCCGAUAGCAUAAUGAUUCCGCAUGGUUUCAUUAUUAAAGGAUUCCGGUAAAGGAUGGGGAUGCGUUCCAUUAGGUUGUUGGUGAGGUAACGGCUCACCAAGCCUUCGAUGGAUAGGGGUUCUGAGAGGAAGGUCCCCCACAUUGGAACUGAGACACGGUCCAAACUCCUACGGGAGGCAGCAGUGAGGAAUAUUGGUCAAUGGGCGCUAGCCUGAACCAGCCAAGUAGCGUGAAGGAUGAAGGCUCUAUGGGUCGUAAACUUCUUUUAUAUAAGAAUAAAGUGCAGUAUGUAUACUGUUUUGUAUGUAUUAUAUGAAUAAGGAUCGGCUAACUCCGUGCCAGCAGCCGCGGUAAUACGGAGGAUCCGAGCGUUAUCCGGAUUUAUUGGGUUUAAAGGGAGCGUAGGUGGACUGGUAAGUCAGUUGUGAAAGUUUGCGGCUCAACCGUAAAAUUGCAGUUGAUACUGUCAGUCUUGAGUACAGUAGAGGUGGGCGGAAUUCGUGGUGUAGCGGUGAAAUGCUUAGAUAUCACGAAGAACUCCGAUUGCGAAGGCAGCUCACUGGACUGCAACUGACACUGAUGCUCGAAAGUGUGGGUAUCANACAGG
rnacentral:rRNA from 1 species